UAUAGCAUUAACAUUUAGGCUGUUCCCAGCCAAUCUAGCCUGAGCUUGAAAGCUAAGUGUUUCUGGGCUCUUUAGUACUUGGAUGGGAACCACCAGAAAAUACCAAGAGUGCUGAAA
rnacentral:rRNA from 1 species